rnacentral:rRNA from 1 species
GCUUGUCUCAAAGAUUAAGCCAUGCAUGUCUUAGUGUAAAUAACUCUUAUGAAACUGCGAAUGGCUCAUUAAAUCAGUUAUCAAAUACGUGAUGGUCGCCUACUACAUGGAUAACCGUAGUAAUUCUAGAGCUAAUACAUGACUAAAAGGGCUAGCCCUGCAUUUAUUAGAUACAACCAACCCUUCGGGUUUUGGCGAAUCAUAAUAACUGAGCGGACCGUAUUCGUACGGCGUUUCUUAUUAAUUUCUGCCCUAUCAGCUUUCGAUGGUAGGGUAUUGGCCUACCAUGGCGUUAACGGGUAACGGAGAAUUAGGGUUCGAUUCCGGAGAGGGAGCCUGAGAGAUGGCUACCACAUCCAAGGAAGGCAGCAGG